UACGUAGGGUGCGAGCGUUAAUCGGAAUUACUGGGCGUAAAGCGCACGUAGUCGGCUUUGCAAGUCGGGUGUGAAAUCCCCGGGCUCAACCUGGGAACUGCAUCCGAGACUGCAUUGCUAGAGUAUGGGAGAGGGAAGCGGAAUUUCUGGUGUAGCAGUGGAAUGCGUAGAUAUCAGAAGGAACAUCAGUGGCGAAGGCGGCUUCCUGGACCAAUACUGACGAUCAGGUGCGAAAGCGUGGGGAGCAAACAGG
rnacentral:rRNA from 1 species